rnacentral:rRNA from 1 species
GUCCACGCCGUAAACGAUGUCUACUUGGAGGUUGUGGCCUUGAGCCGUGGCUUUCGGAGCUAACGCGUUAAGUAGACCGCCUGGGGAGUACGGUCGCAAGAUUAAAACUCAAAUGAAUUGACGGGGGCCCGCACAAGCGGUGGAGCAUGUGGUUUAAUUCGAUGCAACGCGAAGAACCUUACCUACUCUUGACAUCCAGAGAACUUUCCAGAGAUGGAUUGGUGCCUUCGGGAACUCUGAGACAGGUGCUGCAUGGCUGUCGUCAGCUCGUGUUGUGAAAUGUUGGGUUAAGUCCCGCAACGAGCGCAACCCUUAUCCUUGUUUGCCAGCGAGUAAUGUCGGGAACUCCAGGGAGACUGCCGGUGAUAAACCGGAGGAAGGUGGGGACGACGUCAAGUCAUCAUGGCCCUUACGAGUAGGGCUACACACGUGCUACAAUGGCGCAUACAGAGGGCG